AUUGCUUCUCGGCCUUUUGGCUAAGAUCAAGUGUAGUAUCUGUUCUUAUCAGUUUAAUAUCUGAUGCGUCCUCUAUCCGAAGACAAUAUAUUAAAUGGAUUUUUGGAAUUCAGAGUUGGAAUAGGAGCUUGCUCCGUGCAUCAACCUGGUAUUGCAGUGCCUCCGCAAACGGUGCACGCCCU